GCGUAUCUGCAACGACAACCAUCCACCUCUCUAAAUUUCCAUGCACUUUAUUUUUCUUAAUGGCCAGUAAAUCAUAUGCUAUUUUCCCCUGAGCAUCAGGCACCUCUGCGUGAUUCCACCAACUUCCUGGUCGGAGGUGCAGACACAUGUUGGGAGCCUACAAACGAGCUAGAAGAAACAGCCGUUAGAACAGUGACUCCAAGUGUGUUGGCAUGUCGGCUGGUUGCACCUGCGGCCUCCCCCACUGCAAUAACGCGGACAGACAGUGCCAGCACCUUUACAGGCGCCCCUGGAGCGUUGGGUUGCCCACCUGCGGC